GACGAACGCUGGCGGCGUGCUUAACACAUGCAAGUCGAACGGUAAGGCCCCAGCUUGCUGGGUACACGAGUGGCGAACGGGUGAGUAACACGUGGGUGACCUGCCCCGCACUUCGGGAUAAGCCUGGGAAACUGGGUCUAAUACCGGAUAGGACCGCACCGUGAGGGUGUGGUGGAAAGUUUUUCGGUGUGGGAUGGGCCCGCGGCCUAUCAGCUUGUUGGUGGGGUAAUGGCCUACCAAGGCGGCGACGGGUAGCCGGCCUGAGAGGGUGGACGGCCACAUUGGGACUGAGACACGGCCCAGACUCCUACGGGAGGCAGCAGUGGGGAAUAUUGCACAAUGGGCGGAAGCCUGAUGCAGCGACGCCGCGUGGGGGAUGACGGCCUUCGGGUUGUAAACUCCUUUCACCAUCGACGAAGGUUUUCUGACGGUAGAUGGAGAAGAAGCACCGGCUAACUACGUG
rnacentral:rRNA from 1 species